CCUGGCGGCACUAGCGCGGUGGUCCCACCUGACCCCAUGCCGAACUCAGAAGUGAAACGCCGUAGCGCCGAUGUUAGUGU
rnacentral:rRNA from 1 species